GCCAGCGGUAGAGUGACGUCACAGAGCUGCGCCGCGCUCCUGCAUACGCUGCGAUUCGGAUUAAAAGAAGAGUCCAAACACAGAGAAAAGCAGCCGGUUAUAAAGAUGGUGUUUAUUAAAGAGGAGAGUGAAGACAUGAAGAUUGAAGAAACAUUCACAGUCAAACAUGAAGAGAUUGAAGACGCUUUCAGAGUCAAACAUGAAGAUCCUGAGGAACAAACAGACCCAAUGCCAUUCAAAGAGGAGAGUCAAGAUCAGAAUGAAAUAGAAAAGAAGGAUCUUUAUGAAGGAUGUCGUGACUUGAACCAGGACAGACGAAAACCUCUCCCCAAAAAAAAAAGCCCAGAAAGCCAAACCCUAUACCUGCCAUCAGUGUGGAAAAAGUUUCACGCGGAAAAAAAUUGUUACAGACCACAUGAGGCUUCACACUGGAGAAAAGUUUUACGAUUGUCAACACUGUGAGAAGAGUUUCGCUUGGGAACAAAACUUUAAGCACCACAUGAGGAUUCACACUGGAAGAAAACCUUACAGUUGCCAACUGUGUGGAAAGAGUUUCACUUGGAAACAAAACCUUACAGAGCAUGUGAUGAUUCACACUGGAGAAAGGCCUCACAACUGCCAUCAGUGUGGAAAGAGCUUUAUUCGGAAACAAAAGCUUGCAGAACAUAUGAAGGUUCACACUGGAGAAAAGCCUUACACAUGUCAACACUGUGGAAAGUCUUUCUCUAUUAAGGGGAACCAUAGAAGACAUGAGUUAUGUCACACUAAAACAAGCCUUACUCCUGACAAGAGUGUGGAAAAAGUUUAAGACAGGGAUCAACAAACUUGUUACUGGAGGGCCGGUGUCCUGCAGAGUUUAGCGCCAACCCUAAUCUAACACAGCUGAACAAGCCUUAUCAAGGUCUUACUAAGUACACUUGAAACUUCCAAGCAGGUGUGUUGAGGGAAGUUCGGAGCUAAACUGCAGGGACACCGGCUCUUCUAAACAAUUACUUGAUUCCCAUGAGAUGCUUGAAGUAACUUAACAAUGCAGACAACGAUAGUUGAGUCGACACCUGGGCCCGGUUUUUUAAAAGGUUUAAUCUUAAUAAAAUUGAUCCAGAUUUAGUAAUCCGUUUUUUGCAAUCUGUGAUCACGUAAUCCAGCUUACUUUUUGAGCCAGUUUUUCAAAGCAACAUCGGAUUGGAUCACUCUGAUCCGGAUAGGAACUUUUCAGGAUUACUAAAUCUGGAUAACCAGUGCACAAACAGGGUAGGAAAUCAUAAUGUAGAACUAUAGAUGUUAGGGUUGGGCUGAUAGACGAUGCCAUUGUCCAUAGCCGAUGGCCAAUAGAGAACACGAUGCUGAGCUGCAAACCCGCUCGCGAAAAAAACACACUUAUGCCCUGUUUACACUAAUACGUCUUAGUUUUAAAAUGGCAUUUUAGAGCGAAAAUUAUCCACAUCUACACUGUGUUUUACCUAGUUUUCAGCGGACGGAGGGCUGUUUAGAAAUGCUAGGUAAAACACAGUGUGUGUUUUACCUAGCAUUUCUGAACAGCCCUUCGUCCGCUGAAAACGCAGAUCACGUGACCACACACACAGCCACACACACAUUGUCAUGCGCUCAUCUGAGCUCCAGUGAGCAGUGCAUGUCGGACAGUUUAUCAAGGAUGUACCGCUGGAUCGCGUCUCACUAUA